UACGGAGGGUGCAAGCAUUAAUCGGAAUUAUUGGGCGUAAAGGGCGCGUAGGCGGGUAAGCAAGUCAGGUGUGAAAUUCCGAGGCUCAACUUCGGAGCUGCACUUGAAACUUCUUGUCUUGAGGAUUGGCGGAGAGAACGGAAUUCCACGUGUAGCGGUGAAAUGCGUAGAUAUGUGGAAGAACACCUGUGGCGAAAGCGGUUCUCUAGCUUAUAACUGACGCUGAGGCGCGAGAGCAAGGGGAGCAAACAGG
rnacentral:rRNA from 1 species